UAUGUGAUCGUCUCUCGCAUAUCAAUAAGCGGAGGAAAAGAAACUAACAAGGAUUCCCCUAGUAACGGCGAGUGAAGCGGGAAGAGCUCAAAUUUGAAAUCUUAAAGGGUUUCCCUUUACGAAUUGUAGUUUAAAGAAGUGUUUUCUGUUGAGGUUUUGGUAAAAGUUCUUUGGAAUAGGACAUCAUAGAGGGUGAGAAUCCCGUAUUUGACCUUUACUUUCAACUUUGUGAUACACUUUCAAAGAGUCGGAUUGUUUGGGAAUGCAGUCCAAAAUGGGUGGUAAAUUUCAUCUAAAGCUAAAUAUUGGCGAGAGACCGAUAGCGAACAAGUACCGUGAGGGAAAGAUGAAAAGAACUUUGAAAAGAGAGUUAAACAGUACGUGAAAUUGUCAAAAGGGAAGCGUUUGACACCAGUGUUGUUUUUCUGAAAAUCAAUUAAAGAACUGUUUAUGCUAAGUUGUUUAGACUUUAUCAGCUAAUCUGUUUAGUUUUGAGCUUUUCUUUAAUGCACUUUUCAGUUAACAAGUCAACAUCAAUUUCUUUUGCUGUAAAAAAGCUUGAGGAAGGUGGCUUGAGAUUCGUCUUAAGUGUUUAUAGCCUCUUGCCUAUGCAGUCGGAGAGAUUGAGGUCUGCAGCGUAGAUCCUUCGGGGCUAAAUGCAUUUGUGCUAAGUUAUAGCAUUUUAUAGACAACUUGUUGACUAUGAUUUGUCUUGUAGCUUACUCGCUUAUGUUAUUUUACCUACGCUUAGGAUGUUGAACACGCGCGUGCUCG
rnacentral:rRNA from 1 species